GGAGAAGUCAAAACAAAGGUCACCAUGUUGUUCUGAGCCUAAGGGGUCUUUGUGAGAUCUUGCACUACAAACUGCAGCCAAGGGGAUCCCGAAUGGGCAAGACUUGAUCCUCAUACUGGUGAAACCUCCUGAGUCCCCAGGGACCCUGUCAGACCAGGCUCCAGCCUCCCUGCGGUCUCUGAGAGAGAAUGUGGCUAGUUCUGCCCCACGGCUCCCUGGCAGGCAAAACAGCCCUUGAGAGAUUGCAGAAAGCCAUCAACCUUGAAGAUAACAGGAGCCCUCCCAAGGAAAUGUGUUCAGGAGACCUUCUAAGACCAUGCCAUUUCCUGGGUCCCUCUCCCAGUGGGGAAAUUCUCCCAGUAGCAGAUUCUGGCAGACAGCAGAGACACACUCUAUGCCCAACACUAGGCACCGGAUGGAUGAGAUAAUCAUAAAUCCACAAACUGCAACAAGAUAAAAUUAUCAUUAGAUGAAGUUAAAUUAUUAAUUAGCACCUCCAAAAAAAGACCGGCACCACCUGGGCUUGAAUCUUGGAAGCUGUCUUUCUGAAAGCAAGAGAAACAUCAAAAUAGUUUAUCGAUGCUCUGUGGUGUGGGUAUAGCCUAUGGUUCCCAGAAGCCUGAUGGUCAGAGGUCCCACCAGGCAGGCCUGCCCCGCCUGCCCUCUUCUUGCAGUGUUGCCAGAAAUAGCCAGUUUGGAUAAUGUUACUAGGGAAAGGGAAGCAACUAAUGUGACCCAUUUUUAUGACUGGAGAAACUGAGGCAAAGGACGAGGCAGAAAGGCCACAGAAGAUGGCUCAGGGUGGGCUGAAGAAUUUGUGUACUGGGUUGGGAAGGGGUAGGUCCUCAGAUUGCCUGAUUAUCUAAGGACUAAGGAACACUCAUUCGUUCAGUGCACUGCUAUUUUGUGCUUACUAUGUGCCAGGCACCCGGAAUACAGAGGAAAAAGCCAUAAUUCCUUGUCCUUAAGCACAAUGUCUGAUGGGCUAGUCUGAUGAAUCAGCUGUUUCUCCUCUCUGCCUCCCCAGCCUCAAGUCCUAGGACUUAGCCUCUUUAUCAUCAGCCUUGUUUCCAUCAUUGUCAUCAUCAUCCACUACCACCACCACCAACUCCUACAACCCAUAUUUAUUCAUUGAAUCCUGGAACCACAGCAGCUAAUGAUGGGGGAGGAGGCUUUAAAGACCAUCUUUCUAGCCAGAACAUCAAUCCUUGCUACAGAAUUCCGUGUGAAUUGUGAUCCAGUAGAACACUCCCAGCAAUAAGCAGCUUACUCACUGCCUCAUAAAUCAGCCCAUUGCAUCUCU
rnacentral:lncRNA from 1 species